rnacentral:misc_RNA from 1 species
AUGAAGGUACCAAGGUUUUUUAACUUCUUUAGGCAAUUCAAUUCCUUCAUCAAAUAGUUUGUCUAUGGCAGUGAAGUAUGGGAAUCCAAGCUUGUCAUCAACAAUUGCAGUCUCUAUGGUAGGCACCAAUGCAUGUAACAAAGAUUUUACUGUAUUUAUACCAAAUGAUGCUUGUUUCAACUCUGCAAAUGCCUCAUCUCUUGGUACAUAAAAAUCGCUGCUUCUUGAUUCUGUCAAUGGGUCCUUUUCGGUUCUAGGACGUCCAGUUCUACAACGCCUAGGGUAAGGAUGCUCUUUGCCACCAAGAACAGGUCUUGCAAGGUCUUCGCUGGAAUCCGGAUCUCCAAGGUCAUUGUAUACAUCAUAGUCAUAGAUCCUCUCAAAAGACUUUCUCUCUCCUUGUCCAUUUCCUCUUAGAUUUUCCAAUUCCUCCUCUCUUAGCCUCUUCAAUCCGUCUGGUGUUUCAGCAGGUAAGUAUGACUUAUUGGUGAAGAAAAUUCUCUUCUUGGGGUUAUCGUGUUUAGAAUGAGCCCAAGAAUUGCACGAAACAGUGACAGGACCAUUGAGAAAGCCUUCAAGAACAAUGCUUUCAAUGAAGAUUUCCUUGUUAUGUUCGUUCUCUAUCAGGACGGCUCCAACCUCACCAAAUCCAUCUGGAACCUUGAAGUUUGCCUCUAACUUCACCUCACCAGGCUCAUGAAUCCCUAGAAGAAUACGAGCAUAAGACUUCACCGUGUCCUUCUCCAGCCCAGUUUUAGGAUCAAGCUCUGCACUAACAAGCUCCAAAAGGAGACUUUUCCCAAUAAUAUCAGUAAGCACUUCAAGAGGCUGUGUAAUUCCUAUACUAGAGAUAAGACCACCAACUGUAACUUUAACUGUAACAGUUGCCUUCACUGAAAUAGAUUCAGUGUGAUCUUUUAUUGCUGAUAUAGCCUUACCAAUGAGACUAGCUCGCACAAUAAGGCUUGGGUUUUUCUUAGGGAAUAAACGUUUC